rnacentral:rRNA from 1 species
UACGGGGGGUCCUAGCGUUGUUCGGAAUCAUUGGGCGUAAAGCGUGUGCAGGUGGCUCUGCAAGUUGGAUGUGAAAGCCUUGGGCUUAACCCAAGAAGUGCAUUCAAAACUGCAAAGCUUGAAUAUGGAAGAGGGUCGUGGAAUUCCUGGUGUAGUGGUGAAAUACGUAGAUAUCAGGAGGAACACCGGUGGCGAAGGCGGCGACCUGGUCCAAUAUUGACACUCAUACACGAAAGCGUGGGGAUCAAACAGG